rnacentral:rRNA from 1 species
CUGGCGGCGUGCUUAACACAUGCAAGUCGAACGCGAAAGGGACUUCGGUCCUGAGUAAAGUGGCGCACGGGUGAGUAACGCGUAGAUAACCUGUCUUUAUGUCUGGAAUAAUACGCCGAAAGGGGUACUAAUACCGGAUAUUUUUGUCAUUGCAUAAGCAGUGUAAGCAAAGGUGGCCUCUGACAUAAGCUACUGCAUAAAGAGGGGUCUGCGUACCAUUAGCUAGUAGGUGGGUAAAGGCCUACCUAGGCUACGAUGGUUAGCGGGUCUGAGAGGAUGAUCCGCCACACUGGCACUGGAACACGGGCCAGACUCCUACGGGAGGCAGCAGUGAGGAAUAUUGCGCAAUGGGGGCAACCCUGACGCAGCGACGCCGCGUGAGUGAAGGAAGGCCUUCGGGUCGUAAAGCUCUGUCAAAGGGAAAGAAGUGCAUGGUGAUUAAUACCUGCCAUGUUUGACGGUACCCUUAAAGGAAGCACCGGCUAACUCCGUGCCAGCCGCUGC